AUUCUGCGCGUAACGACUUACUUGUUUAUGUGAUAUUUAGGCAGUGGGAAUCCCGACCAGUAACCAUAUCUUCAAAUGAAGCCCGUCCACGACUCCACGGGUGACCAGCACUCCACGCCGGGGUUUACGAAGCGGCAGUGCUCCGGCUCUCUGCAAAUUAAGGACAUGGCGACAACCAUUCCUCCAGGCACAAUUGUUCCUGAAGUUCUUGGAAAUACAAAUUACGAGAACUGGAGUGCUUGCAUAAAAAACUAUCUAUUGGCUCAAGAUCUUUGGGACAUUAUUGAAACAACAACGGAACCUCCUAAACCAGAAGAUGAUGCAGUGGAAUUCAAGGCUUGGAGGAAGAGGAAUGCUGCAACUUUACAUGCAAUUCAGAUUUCAUGUGGGAUGGACAUACUGUCCAAGAUCAAGGAUAUUAGUCCUGCCAGAAUUUUGUGGGAUACAUUAGCUGAAAUGUAUGAGCAAUCCGCAGAAGGAAUCGACCCAGAGGUUGCACUAAUAAACUCAUCAAACACGUCAGAUAGAAAACAGAAUCAUGAGCAACCACCAAAUGAUGCUAAUCAAGAUGUAGGAAACUCAUCAAGCAGCCCAGGGAGGGAUGGCAACCAGAACAAUGAAUUCUCUGAGUAUGCGGUCUUGCUUCGGGCUAUUCAAAGUGGUAAUUGGAAUGCUACAAAUGAUUUCCUUAAGCUCCACCCCAAUGCAAAGACAGCAACAAUCGAAAAUAUUUCAGGCCAGACGGCUCUUCACAUUGCUGUUGCUGCUGAACACGAACAUAUAGUGGAGAAGUUAGUGGAGAUGAUGAAGGAAGAAGACUUGGCAAUACUAGAUUCUGGCGGUAAUACAGCACUAGCUUAUGCAGCCAUUAAGGGUAAUAACCGGAUGGUAAAGUGCAUGGUUAGAAAGAACAAUAGCUUAGUGAGCAUUGGAAAUAAUCAGCAAGAUAUUCCUGUUGUUAUCGCCUUUGAGAAUGGCCAUAAAGAAUUGGCUCGCUAUCUCUAUCUUCACACUCCUUUGGAAGAGCUAAAGCCAGAAAAAGGCCACAACGGUGCUACGCUUUUAAACCACACUAUUUAUACUGGACUUUUCGAUAUUGCCGUGCAUUUAAUGGAGGGUUGGCCGCGUUUGGCUUUUGCACCAGACAGAGACAAUUUCACCCCUUUGUAUGUAUUGGCUUCUAUGCCUCAGGCAUUCCCCGGUGCAACUCGGCUCGUGUUUUGGAAAAAAUGGAUCUACUCCUGUAUACAAAUUCCACGGGCUCAUACCACGGAUGAAAUUCGUUUGAACAUUCAAAACAAUCAAGAAAUAGCUAUCGGAUCAGUGCGAGCUCUAUUGCGUCAGCUAGUUUCAAGUCUCCUUAACCUCUUGGGAUUCAAGCAGUUAUAUGAGAUGAAGUUGGUCCAUGUCAGAUCCUAUGAACUUGUGUCAUGCAUGUGCAAAGCUGUAUCAUCUUUAGAUCAUCAAGACAUGAUAAAUGGUGGUGUUUAUUCAGCAAUAUUCCGGGCUAUGAGGGAAGGGAUCCUUGAGAUUGUUGUUGGAAUAGUGACAGCAAAUCCAAAACUUUUGCAUAUCCGUGAUGCGGAAAACAGAGGCAUCGUUAUGUUGGCUGCCCUACAUCGUCAUGCUGAUAUCUUUUUAGCGACUUUCCGCUCCAGACAGGCGAGCAUGUGGGCAGCUAACAGAGACAUCUUCGGCAAUAACAUAUUACAUAUGGUAGCAUUGUUAACAGAAUUCACUCCGCUUGAUCACAUCCCAGGUGCAGCUUUGCAGAUGCAAAGAGAACUGCAAUGGUUUAAGCAGGUGGAGAGCCUUUGCAAUCCCAUGAUUACAAACUUUAAGAACGCAGAUGGUUUGACUCCUAGACAGUUGUUUACAAAGACCCACAAGGACUUGAUGAAAGAAGGAGAGCGAUGGAUGAAGGACACAUCAACUUCUUGUACGGUAGUAGGCGCUCUCAUCGUCACUAUUAUGUUUGCGGCAGCAUUUACCGUUCCAGGUGGUAAUAAUCAAGAGACAGGCUUGCCAAUAUUCUUACAUAAUAACAUGUUUAAGAUCUUUAUAUUGACCGAUUCCCUCUCACUUUUUUCUUCCUCGGCUUCAGUAUUGAUAUUUUUGGGAAUCCUUACAUCACGUUAUGCAGAAGAAGAUUUUCUCAAAUCCUUGCCUAAAAGAAUGAUAAUAGGCCUUUGCACCCUCUUCUUCUCUAUCACAACUAUGAUGAUAGCCUUUUCUACUGCUCUUUUGAUCAUGCUGCGUGGACAUUCAUGGACUGUCAAUCCUGUCAUCUGUUUGGCUAGUAUUCCCGUUACUCUGUUUGUAUUGAUGCAGUUCCACCUUCUUGUUGACAUGUUUGCUUAUACCUACAGAUCAAGCAUCUUUGAUAACAGAGUGAAGCCUUGGUUUAAAUUUCGUUCAUUGUACAAUCUACUGUUUAGGUGACGUUCCUUCAAUAUUUGGCGUGCUAGCCAGAGCUCAAUGAUUUUUUACUUUUUUCUUUUUUUUUUAAUUCCCUUGGACUUAAUGACUGGUGAAUUCUCACCUAGCCUUCCUUCUGUUGCAUACUUUGUGAUUUUCAUAUUUUAGACCUACUAUCUCCAGUUGUAA